AGAGAGAGACAUGCGCGCAUAUCAAUAAGCGGAGGAAAAGAAACUAACUAGGAUUCCCUCAGUAACGGCGAGUGAAGCAGGAAGAGCUCAAAUUUGAAAUCUUCAAGGUUCUACCUUGACGAAUUGUAGUUUAAAGAAGUGUUUUCUGUUGGAGUUUUGGUAAAAGUUCUUUGGAAUAGGACAUCAUAGAGGGUGAGAAUCCCGUAUUUGACCAUUAUUUCCAGCUUUGUGAUACACUUUCAAAGAGUCGGAAUUGUUUGGGAAUGCAGUCCAAAAUGGGUGGUAAAUUUCAUCUAAAGCUAAAUACUUGGCGAGAGAUCGAUAGCGAACAAGUACCGUGAGGGAAGGAUGAAAAGAACUUUGAAAAGAGAGUUAAACAGUACGUGAAAUUGUCAAAAGGGAAGCGUUUGACACCAGUGUUGUUUUCUCGAAAAUCAAUUAAAAAAGGCAGGAUUUUGUGUUGUAUUGACUUUAUCAGCUUUCUGCACUCUUUUCUUGUCUUUUUUAAUGCACUUUUCGUUUAACAAGUCAACAUCAAUUUCUUUUGUUGUAAAAGGGUCAUUGGAAGGUGGCUUUCUUUUCGGAGAAAGUGUUUAUAGCCUUUGGCCUCUGCAAUCGGAGAGAUUGAGGUCUGCAGCGUAGAUCCUUCGGGGUUAGAUACAUUUGUGCUAAGUUAUAGCCUUUCAUAGACAACUUGUUGACUAUGAUCAGUCAUGUAGCUUACUCGCUUAUGCUAUUUUACCUACGCUUAGGAUGUUGAUGUGAUACUGCGAGCA
rnacentral:rRNA from 1 species